AUGCCGGUGGAUGACGAGAAGUGGAGUUUAAACCGAGGAAAAGUCAGUUUAGUUUUUUUUUUUUUAUUCCAUUUUAUAUUUGACGUCGCUGUAAUCCAGUGGAUGCAUUAAACUGAGGAGAGUUAUAUGAAGGCUGGGGUGGUGAGGAGGGGGAAAUAUGUGCGCAAAUAAAGAGAUUUCUGUAAAUGUAACGUAUGUGCAGUGUGUUAGCGGUGCCACACUUUAAAAAAAUAUUUUCCAGUUCACCAUCUGCGUAUAAAUGUCCAAAAAAAUGAUUUUUAAUAUCAAAACAUUUCAAAAGUUUCCAGAAAAUCGACGAUUAUUAAAGCACCUGAACAUGUCAGACUUUUUUUGUUUUAGAGUUGAUAAGUCUGCAUGUUGUAUAAAAGAGUUAAAACCAGGAAAAGCAAAAUAAACCAGUGACAUAAAGACAAGAGAAAAAAAAAGCAGCUCUCCGUGUGAAGGCUGCACACCGUCCUCUCACAUUCCAGCGCGUCGCAAAAAAAAGGGGGGAUUUAGAGCGACUUAUUUUCUUUAAAACUGUCCUCCCGUCCACAGAGCCAGCCAGUCUGCUCCCAUCAGCCUCAUACAGGGCCUGCACCAAAAAAAAAAUACAUCCAGAAUAUUUUACAUGAGAGUUUCCCACCGAGUGACACCGAGCAGCCGAAGGACUUCUUCCAGGACUUGGUGAGCACACAUCCAGACUGAGAUGAGGAGAAAUGACAGAGGCCGGCUGUGCAGCUGUGGACACUUUCACUGAUCUCACUUGUGCAAGAGGAAGAAAGUGAAAUAUGAAGAUUUCGAUCAGAAGGAGCGCUUUGAACGGAUCAUAACCCUGGAUUUCUUUUAACAACCAAACAACUUGAGAUCUGGUCUCAGCAGAGGAAAAGUUUUGCUGUGAGUCUUGCCUGUUUGGAGGAGAGGAGCUGCAGCACCUUCAGGAGUUCGCCAACAAACAAACGGAUGCAAUUAAACACACUCGCCUUCAGAUCAUCAAUGAGGAUGCAAAGUCAAGACUGGUGGAAAAAAAACCCGGCAAGGACAAAUAUAAGACGGGAGAAGAGUCUGCUGCCUCAAGGUUAAACACAAGUGUGUAAAGAGCUUGUCUUCACACAGUCUGGAUAGUCUUCUUCAAAGAGGCAUCACUAGCUGUUUUCUUUUCUAAAUUAAAUGUCCUUGAAAAAUACUUUUUUGUUACUAUUUACAUCCCUCAUUUCACAACUUGUUAUAACUCUUAAUUGAUGUCAUAUUUUUGUGUCAUUGCUGAAGAAUUUAAGAAAGUUUAUAUGUACACUGCCUCCUCGCUGUGAAAACACAAAGAAAUAAUUUGCAAAUAAAGACUAAAAUCGUCAGACCACCACCCUGCUCUCUGUCUCUCCCUCUCUCUCUCUGCACCUUCUCCUCUGUGCUGAGGUGUCUGCAUGGCGUGGUAAAACCUGCCCUGCAGACCGGACCUCUCAAGUCUUCAAAGGAGGAAGAACUCAAUGUGGGGGGAUUUGUUCAGGCUUAUUUGGUAACCUAGGAUUUGAAUUGGAUUCUGGGAGGCAUUCAUAACACAUUUGAAAAUGUUACAUUGUGUGAUUUUGUGUGUAAUCCCCA